rnacentral:tRNA from 1 species
GUUGGGGUGGUGUAGUUAAGCACAUGGGGUUUUCAGCCCUAAGGAGUAGCGUUAUGAGCUGCCUUCAACU